GUCCUAAGGUAGCGAAAUUCCUUGUCGGGUAAGUUCCGACCUGCACGAAUGGCGUAAUGAUGGCCAGGCUGUCUCCACCCGAGACUCAGUGAAAUUGAACUCGCUGUGAAGAUGCAGUGUACCCGCGGCAAGACGGAAAGACCCCGUGAACCUUUACUAUAGCUUGACACUGAACAUUGAGCCUUGAUGUGUAGGAUAGGUGGGAGGCUUUGAAGUGUGGACGCCAGUCUGCAUGGAGCCGGCCUUGAAAUACCACCCUUUAAUGUUUGAUGUUCUAACGUGGACCCGUGAUCCGGGUUGCGGACAGUGUCUGGUGGGUAGUUUGACUGGGGCGGUCUCCUCCUAAAGAGUAACGGAGGAGCACGAAGGUUGGCUAAUCCUGGUCGGACAUCAGGAGGUUAGUGCAAUGGCAUAAGCCAGCUUGACUGCGAGCGUGACGGCGCGAGCAGGUGCGAAAGCAGGUCAUAGUGAUCCGGUGGUUCUGAAUGGAAGGGCCAUCGCUCAACGGAUAAAAGGUACUCCGGGGAUAACAGGCUGAUACCGCCCAAGAGUUCAUAUCGACGGCGGUGUUUGGCACCUCGAUGUCGGCUCAUCACAUCCUGGGGCUGAAGUAGGUCCCAAGGGUAUGGCUGUUCGCCAUUUAAAGUGGUACGCGAGCUGGGUUUAGAACGUCGUGAGACAGUUCGGUCCCUAUCUGCCGUGGGCGCUGGAGAACUGAGGGGGGCUGCUCCUAGUACGAGAGGACCGGAGUGGACGCAUCACUGGUGUUCGGGUUGUCAUGCCAAUGGCACUGCCCGGUAGCUAAAUGCGGAAGAGAUAAGUGCUGAAAGCAUCUAAGCACGAAACUUGCCCCGAGAUGAGUUCUCCCUGACCCUUUAAGGGUCCUGAAGGAACGUUGAAGACGACGACGUUG
rnacentral:rRNA from 1 species